GAUGAACGCUAGCUACAGGCUUAACACAUGCAAGUCGAGGGGACACGAUGAGAGAGCUUGCUCUCUUAGGCGUAGACCGGCGCACGGGUGAGUAACGCGUAUCCAACCUACCCUUCACAGGGGGAUAACCUUGCGAAAGUAAGACUAAUACCCCAUGGCCUGUUCUGGUGGCAUCAUUAUAGGGUUAAGGUUUUAUUUGUAAGGGAUGGGGAUGCGUCUGAUUAGCUUGUUGGCGGGGUAACGGCCCACCAAGGCAACGAUCAGUAGGGGUUCUGAGAGGAAGGUGCCCCACAUUGGAACUGCGACACGGUCCAAAAUCCUACGGGAGGCAGCAGUAGGGGAUAAUAGUCAAUGGGGGGGGGCUGGAACCAGCCGAGUAGCGGGCAGGAUGACGGAGCUAUGGGUUGUAAGCUGCUUUUAGAGGGGUAGUAAGGGAGCGACGUGUAGUGUAUUGCAGGUACCCGAUGAAUAAGGACCGGCUAAUUCCGUG
rnacentral:rRNA from 1 species